rnacentral:rRNA from 1 species
ACGGAGGGUGCAAGCGUUAUUCGGAAUUAUUGGGCGUAAAGGGUGCGUAGGCGGUUUUGUAAGUCAGAUGUGAAAUCCCGGGGCUUAACCUCGGAACUGCAUUUGAUACUGCACAACUUGAGUAUGGGAGAGGGUGGCGGAAUUCCUGGUGUAGGAGUGAAAUCCGUAGAUAUCUGGAGGAACAUCAGUGGCGAAGGCGGCCACCUGGACCGGUAUUGACGCUGAGGUGCGAAAGCGUGGGGAGCAAACAG